CCGUUCAAUUAUUAAAACAACAACAACAAAACACGUAUAUUUUACUUUUUCGUCUGCAAUCCAUCCGUUCUAAGUAGGCAAUAUGAGUCAGAGUAUACCUAUAAGAAUCAAAUUAAUUAUUCACCUGUCAAAGACCAACUUAUGAGGGCGUAGCUUAUACAUAUACCGCCUGCAUCAUUUUCAUUACUAGUUUCUAUUCUACUUUCGUUUUCCGGGAAAUACUCAUUUUUCAUUUUCCAGGGUGCAGUUACUUUUAAUUUGAAUCAACGUGAAACCAGGCAAAGUAAAACAAACAUGGCCAGCCAGACCGUUGAUGACAAAGGUUUGUGCCACAUACAUUUCUGGAAGUCGUCUGCUAAAACAAGCUAUGGUCAUAUUUCGUUUGAAGUGCACGAUGGAGUUUACAUUAGUCACUGGCCGUCCGUCUGUAAGAAUGACAUUUUAAGUGCGAUCGUUGGCUGCCCUGCAAUGUGGUACGACACGUUUCAAGACGAGAUUGAUGAAAUAGGGUAUCCAAGUUUAACCCAUCAUAUAGAAGGCUUGGACGUACAAGCGAUAACUGAUUGGUGGACGGGAUUCAAGUCUGAAAAACGAGACUGGAGUCUUUUGCGAAACAGCUGUUCUAACAUCGUACAUAAAGCAUUGAGUGUAGGCCGGUCAGACUGGUUCAGUGGCACUAUCGAAGGGUUUGCUACAUCGCCGGAAGCGGUUGUAAAACUUGUCGAGAAUUACAAUAAUAACCGCAAGGUAAAGAUUGUGUGUGUGGACUUUGUGCGCAGCAAGAAAAAGUAACCAAUGAAGUGAGUGUUUGUACGCCCUAAUAAGAAAAAAAAAUACAGGAUUGAACCUCACUAUUUUCGGUAGAUAAGAACUUGAAUAUAUUAAUUAAAAUGACAUUCUGCCUGAUUCCUAACAGUAUCAAAACUUUUUAAUAAGUUGCAUAAAAAACCUUAUAAGUCAACGCAUACAGUAAAACCUUUCUAAAGUGACCUGCACUGAAAAUACAAAAUAAUUUUUACUUAAUAUAUUUACAAUAAUUUACAAAUGAAAUAAGUGUACAACUUUCAAACUUCUCUUAAAGUAACAACACCAUUGACCCACUCUUAAGAUGUAUGGCAUAGCCGUUGAAAUUGUUGGUAAUCAUGAUUAAAUAAAAAGGUUUCUUGAUAUUUUACCCAGUUGAGCUGAUUUGGUAAACAUAUUGUUAAAUGCACUUAAAUAUAUAUAUAUUGCAACGGUAAUAUUUCUACCAAAUGAGUGGUGUAUUUAUUGUAGGAAAGCCGAUAGAAAACCAAGUCGGUGGAUAAGUUUCUGGCCAAGUUUGUAGGAAUCUGAAAUGGUAGCCCAGUCUCACAUUUAAUCAACCAAUCAAAUGUCAGUCUUUUGAGACUAUAUAGUCUAAAAUAUAUUGGACAAGUGUAUCAGUUAUGAUCAUACUCUUUUAGGCCAUACAACUUGGUUUUCACUGUAAGCAAUUUAUGAUUUGGUGCUUAACCUAUAAAGUUAAGCACUGAAAUAAACAUGUACAUUUG
rnacentral:lncRNA from 1 species